rnacentral:misc_RNA from 1 species
AAUCUCAACCAUUAGGGUUUCUUAAUGGCUUGGAUUUGGGUGUUGCCAGCUUGUCUGGCUCGCCUUAAAAGAGUUAGCAAACAUAACAUUGUUGUCUGGUGUAAUAAGUUUCACUGGUAAGACGUGUGACUGUAAGCUUCUAAUCGCCCUUGGGCAAUUUUUUGA